CCUACGUGAGGCAGCAGUGAGGAAUAUUGGUCAAUGGCCGGAAGGCUGAACCAGCCAUGCCGCGUGAAGGUCAGUGCCCUAUGGGCGUUAAACUUCUUUUGUGCGGGAGCAAUAAUGGUCACGUGUGGCCAGACGAGAGUACCGUACGAAUAAGCAUCGGCUAACUCCGUGCCAGCAGCCGCGGUAAUACGUAGGGAGCAAGCGUUGUCCGGAUUUACUGGGUGUAAAGGGUGCGUAGGCGGCCCUGCAAGUCAGAAGUGAAAUCCAUGGGCGUAACCCGUGAACUGCUUUUGAAACUGUAGGGCUUGAGUGAAGUAGAGGCAGGCGGAAUUCCCGGUGUAGCGGGGAAAUGCGUAGAGAUCGGGAGGAACACCAGUGGCGAAGGCGGCCUGCUGGGCUUUAACUGACGCUGAAGCACGAAAGCGUGGGUAGCAAACAGGAUUAGAUACCCUUGUAGUC
rnacentral:rRNA from 1 species